rnacentral:rRNA from 1 species
GACAGAGGGGGCAAGCGUUGCUCGGAAUUACUGGGCGUAAAGGGCGCGUAGGCGGAAUGGCAAGUCGGUCGUGAAAUCCUUCGGCUCAACCGAAGAACGUCGAUCGAAACUGCCGUUCUUGAGGAUUGCAGAGGAGACUGGAAUUCCCGGUGUAGCGGUGAAACGUGUAGAGAUCGGGAGGAACACCGGUGGCGAAGGCGGGUCUCUGGGCCUUACCUGACGCUGAGGAGCGAAAGCGUGGGUAGCGAACAGG